GACGAACGCUGGCGGCGUGCUUAACACAUGCAAGUCGAACGGAAAGGCCCUGCUUUUGUGGGGUGCUCGAGUGGCGAACGGGUGAGUAACACGUGAGUAACCUGCCCUUGACUUUGGGAUAACUUCAGGAAACUGGGGCUAAUACAGGAUAGGAGCUCCUGCUGCAUGGUGGGGGUUGGAAAGUUUCGGCGGUUGGGGCUGGACUCGCGGCUUAUCAGCUGGUUGGUGGGGUAGUGGAUUACCAAGGCUUUGACGGGUAGCCGGCCUGAGAGGGUGACCGGCGACAUUGGGACUGAGAGACGGCCCAGUCUCCUACGGGAGGCAGCAGGGGGGAAUAUUGCACAAUGGGCGGAAGCCUGAUGCAGCAACGCCGCGUGCGGGAUGACGGCCUUCGGGGUGUAAACCGCUUUCGCCUGUGACGAAGCGUGAGUGACGGUAAUGGGUAAAGAAGCACCGGCUAACUACGUG
rnacentral:rRNA from 1 species